UUAGCCUUAAACCUCAGUAGUUAGAGCAACAAAACUACUCGCCAGAAUACUACAAGCAACGGCUUGAAACUCAAAGGACUUGGCGGUGCUUCACAUCCCCCUAGAGGAGCCUGUCCCGUAAUCGAUAAACCCCGAUCCACCCUACCUUCUCUUGCUUAGCCUAUAUACCGCCAUCUUCAGCAAACCCUGAUAAAGGCUACAAAGUGAGCGCAAAUGCCCCUUUCACAAAAACGUUAGGUCAAGGUGUAGCCCAUGAGAUGGUAAAAGAUGGGCUACAUUUUCUACUUCAGAAUACCCUACGAUAGCUCUUAUGAAAUCUAAGAGCCCAAGGAGGAUUUAGCAGUAAAUUAAGAAUAGAGUGCUUAAUUGAACUAGGCCAUAAAGCACGC
rnacentral:rRNA from 1 species